rnacentral:rRNA from 1 species
UCAGGCCUAACACAUGCAAGUCGAACGGCAGCACGGACUUCGGUCUGGUGGCGAGUGGCGAACGGGUGAGUAAUAUAUCGGAACGUGCCCAGUCGUGGGGGAUAACGUAGCGAAAGCUACGCUAAUACCGCAUACGAUCUACGGAUGAAAGCGGGGGAUCGCAAGACCUCGCGCGAUUGGAGCGGCCGAUAUCAGAUUAGGUGGUUGGUGAGGUAAAGGCUCACCAAGCCGACGAUCUGUAGCUGGUCUGAGAGGACGACAGCCACACUGGGACUGAGACACGGCCCAGACUCCUACGGGAGGCAGCAGUGGGGAAUUUUGGACAAUGGACGCAAGUCUGAUC